GUUUCUGUGGUGUAGUGGUUAUCACGUUUCACGCAAAAGGUCUCCGGUUCAAUCCCGGGCAGGAACA
rnacentral:tRNA from 1 species